CCUGGGGCUGCGCCCCGGGCUGGUAUAGGGCGGGCCUUUGGCCCU
rnacentral:sRNA from 1 species